GGCUUAAACAACAGAAAUCUAUUGUCUCAUACAUUUCAUCUGGAGGCUAGAAGUCCAAAAUCAAGGCAUCAGCAGAGCUGGUUCCUCCUGAGGCCUGUGAGAGAGAAUCUGCUCCACGCCGCACCCCUUGCUCCUUGUGGUUUGCUAGCAGUCUUUCGUGUUCCUUAGCUUGACGAUGUAUCACUCAAUCUCUGCCUUCAUCUUCAUGUGGUGUACUCCCUGUGUGUGUGUCUCUGUGUCCAAAUUUCCCCUUCUGAUGUGGACAUCUAUCAUAUUUGAUUAGGGCCCGCUCUGAUGACCUCAUUUUAACUUGAUUACCUCUGUUAUGACCCUGCCUCCAAACAAGGUCACAAUCUGAGGUUCAUUAACAUAUAAUUCUUGAGUAGAAACAAUUCAAUCCAUAGCAGCUUGCAUUUUUCUCACAUGUGAGAGGGAUCUUAGCCUGUGACUUUUAAAAGACACAAAACAAAGAAAAACCUUGAAAUGCAUCUAUCAGGUGAUGAAAUGCAUCUAUCAACCGCUAGCUGUGGGACCUAGUGUUCAAGUGAAGAGAGGUGGAGGUAUUGAUCCUUUUACAUUAAACCCAAUUUGCUGUGUGCUCCAUUUCAUGACAGACUUGCUCAGUGGGGCCAGAUGCAUUGUAGUAUUGCCCCUAUUUUCUAGGCAAGACCCAUGUUAUGAAACAACUCUUGUCUCUGUCUCUCUCUCCUACCUCUUCCAUUAGAAGAUGAUGAUGGCCCUCAUUCGCUGAAGACUCGGGGCUAGCAACACCCCUCUAGACUUACAGAUCAGUAUUUUGAAACUGUGUUAGCUUUGGAUAUAUAUAAACUGCCAUCUGUAAAAGCAGUUUCCUUCUUCUCUACCCUAAACCAUAUCCUUCAAGCCUCAAGGGUACCCACUGCCUCCACUGUGAAGAAUCUGCACACUUAUUGCAUACUGGGCAAUGCUAGCCUCAGCCAGGCAUGGCACCGCCAGUGACAACAUCCAAGGACAAGGAAGGGACUUCUCACCCACAGAUGACUAAAGCAGGUGCUUUAUUUCAGAAUCAGCCCUGAUAUGCCUACCCAGAGGAAGAAAAGAAAAUUGAACAACCACUUUCAACAGAGAGCCAAGGACUUGCCCUAUGGAUGAAAUGGCAGUU
rnacentral:lncRNA from 10 species